rnacentral:rRNA from 1 species
GACGAACGCUGGCGGCGUGCUUAACACAUGCAAGUCGAACGGAAAGGCCCUGCUUUUGUGGGGUGCUCGAGUGGCGAACGGGUGAGUAACACGUGAGUAACCUGCCCUUGACUUUGGGAUAACUUCAGGAAACUGGGGCUAAUACCGGAUAGGAGCUCCUGCUGCAUGGUGGGGGUUGGAAAGUUUCGGCGGUUGGGGAUGGACUCGCGGCUUAUCAGCUUGUUGGUGGGGUAGUGGCUUACCAAGGCUUUGACGGGUAGCCGGCCUGAGAGGGUGACCGGCCACAUUGGAACUGAGAUACGGCCCAGGCUCCUACGGGAGGCAGCAGUGGGGAAUAUUGCACAAUGGGCGGAAGCCUGAUGCAGCAACGCCGCGUGCGGGAUGACGGCCUUCGGGUUGUAAACCGCUUUCGCCUGUGACGAAGCGUGAGUGACGGUAAUGGGUAAAGAAGCACCGGCUAACUACGUG